GCCGGAUGCUGGCAGGGGAGAGAACCCGGGUCAGAGGGAGAUGCAGCCCUCGCCCCGCGCCCCGCCCCUCGCGGCACGCCCUCCCUUACCUGACGCCUUGGUCCUGGUUCCGAGAGCCGCAGCAGUUGGAGAAGAGGCAGAUGCCACCCAGGAUGGCGAGCAGGGAGGCGCUCCAGCCCAGGCUGUAAGCUCUGGAGGGCAGAAACUCUCACCUUUGGAGUCCCUCCCACUGCCUGGCUCCUAGUGCGGGCUCAAGAAACAUUGCUGAUGGACUGAUUUGUAACCAAGGGAUCUGCUCUCCCCACCCCGUACCAGAGAGGGCCAGCAUGGACGGAAACUCCCAGCAGUUGUAGACUCCAAGGGAGUCGGUGGCACAGCUGUACCAGAGGUUCUCGAAGAUGGUGCUGGUGGUGAUGACGUUCCCGUGCACGGUGGACACUCGCCAGCUGCUGUGUGUCAGGGUCACCCCUAGCAUCAGCAGCCCCAGGGCUGCGAUGAAGAAGCCGAAGAUCUCCACAGCCACCGACAUGGUGGGACACAGGCCCCGGGAGGAGCCUGGGGCCCCAGAGAAGGGGAGGGGCUGAGCCCCAGGGGAACUUGAAGGGGCUUUGGCUAAGGACGGCGGUUAAGGCAGGCUGGGGAGAGAGAGGGAGGCAGCCUGCAGCCUCUGCCUCUUCCUUGGCCCAGGUCUGUCUCUGGUUGGUCUCUUCCCUCUCUCUGGGUCUCUCCGCUUCCCUGCAGGUCGGUCAGAGGAGUGAGACAAGAGUGCACGGCAGCUGUUGAAGAGGAGAUGGACGGAAUAAACGAAACGGGCCAAAAGUCCACCCCUCCCCCACGUCUCUGGGCUGCCCUGGGCUCCCCGCCCCACGAGGGUGUGGGGAGAGGACUUACCGGGGAGGGACUAAUGGAUGCCGCCAAGGAAGGGUUCCCACGGGAGGCACUGGGAGCCGAGGGGAAGCAUCCGCCUCUGACUCAGCUUUCAUCGGGGGCCAGAGAAUGGAGUAAGAGGGACAAGAGACAGAGACGGAGACUGACCACAGGCAGGUCCCCUGCACCUUUCAGUGGGGAAGGGCCAAGGGAGCGGAGCCACCCUCUCUGAAUGUUGGUGAGAACAAUUCAGGAAACUCAAAGAGCUAGGGCUUGAGGCGUUGAGUCUCCAAGGAAGAUGAAGGUCGAAAAGGGGAUGGGGAAUCUGGGAGAAACCCAUGGCUCUGGAAUCCAACCAACCUGGAUUCAAACCAGGUCCAUCAUUUACCAAAGGGAUGUGGGCAUGAAGUUUGAGCCCCUUGAGCUUGUUUCCGAUUCUGUGAACUAGAACUACUACUUCUCACUUCACAAGAAUCGUGACUACAGAUCAAAGCUCCCCGCAAGUAUGAAUCGCUCGAUACUCGACACUUGGUGAAUGCCCUGGGUCUGGGCGCCCAAGGGCCAGGGUGAGGCCAAAGGAGGUUGCUUUCCCCCAAACUUCAACUUCCUGAACUUGAAGUUCCCCCCUUGUCGGGAUGAUCUUUGACUCUCGGCAAGAAGCUGGAUCUUGCUGCUAAGGGGCCUCAAGGGGGAUAAAUCACAAGCCCGGGACGUGAUCCUCUGAUAAACUAAAAAGCAAAGAGUUAUCAGAACUGUCACCAGCUCUAUUAAUUAUGAGAGAUUAGAAACCUCUGGGUCCCCACCCCAAACCGAGGCUGAGCACCUGGCCCGGCACAGACGGUCUCAGUUCCUGCCCCAAGGCCACGGCUGGGGCAGCUCUGGUUCUCUUCUGGCAAGUGAGGCUGGGGCUCAGUCCAAGGGGCCCGUCCUACACCCAGGCGGUCACAUGGGCAUCACUGCGCUGAGGUGUAGUCCCCCAUCCCCUCCUCCCCGUGUCAGGCUCCUCUGUGCUCCCCCGGGCGCCUCCGCCCCAAUCCCCCCCAAGCUGGGCUGAGGAACGAGAAGUAUGCAGUGAAGCAACGCAGUGAGGCAAGGCAGGCCCGUGCUGAGCCUGGCACCGGCCGGGUGUUGGGCAAAGCAGGCUGUGUGGGGACUGGGUCCCGACCUUCCUUCUGCAACUGGGAUGUCCUGGGUUCCUGACCUCUCCCAAGACCUCUGCCGACUCCACGCCAAAUGCCCAUUUCCUUCCCCCAACCAGUGGCCCCUCUCCUCUAAGGAGUGGGAUUGGGGGGAGGAAGGGGAGGGCGCAGGAAGACAAAGGGAGGGAAGGGUGGAGGUUUUGGAGGAAACUGAGUGGGGGCCCCCCUGGUGUGGAAAACUCCACACGCUGAGAGGCAGCUGAGUGGGUCAGAGGCGAUGGUGUCCCUUCAGCUCUGCCCUUUCCGCCUCUGGUCACUGCUUUUUCUCAGGAUUCUACAUCCGGGCAAAGGGCACGCCCCUAUGCUGCCUGCCACUGCUCAAGGACGUGGCUGGGCUGGGCUGGGCGGGGUGGGGGCGGGGAGAGGAAGCGUGUAGGGGCUGGGCAGCUCAGC